rfam:Gossypium raimondii Chr07_contig_776, whole genome shotgun sequence.
AAUCCAUGCAUCGGACAUUCCUAAAGUAAUUCUUUAAAUCUCUCCCAAGCUUCAUAUAGCGUUUCAUCCUCUGGUUGCCAAAAAGAUGUGAUGUCAUUUCUAAUCUU